rnacentral:rRNA from 1 species
UACACUCCUGCGGGAGGCAGCAGUGGGGAAUAUUGCACAAUGGGCGCAAGCCUGAUGCAGCCAUGCCGCGUGUAUGAAGAAGGCCUUCGGGUUGUAAAGUACUUUCAGCGGGGAGGAAGGCGAUAAGGUUAAUAACCUUGUCGAUUGACGUUACCCGCAGAAGAAGCACCGGCUAACUCCGUGCCAGCAGCCGCGGUAAUACGGAGGGUGCAAGCGUUAAUCGGAAUUACUGGGCGUAAAGCGCACGCAGGCGGUCUGUCAAGUCGGAUGUGAAAUCCCCGGGCUCAACCUGGGAACUGCAUUCGAAACUGGCAGGCUAGAGUCUUGUAGAGGGGGGUAGAAUUCCAGGUGUAGCGGUGAAAUGCGUAGAGAUCUGGAGGAAUACCGGUGGCGAAGGCGGCCCCCUGGACAAAGACUGACGCUCAGGUGCGAAAGCGUGGGGAGCAAACAGGAUUAGAUACCCCAGUAGUCCCAUG